CGUAGAGAAAUCGAGUCUUAAUAGGGCGUUUAGUUGCUGGGUAUAGACCCGAAACCAGGCGAUCUAUCCAUGAGCAGGUUGAAGGUUGGGUAACACUAACUGGAGGACCGAACCCACUGUCGUUGAAAAGCCAGGGGAUGACUUGUGGAUAGGGGUGAAAGGCUAAUCAAGCCUGGUGAUAGCUGGUUCUCCCCGAAAGCUAUUUAGGUAGCGCCUCGGACGAAUACCAUAGGGGGUAGAGCACUGUUUCGGCUAGGGGGUCAUCCCGACUUACCAAACCGAUGCAAACUCCGAAUACCUAUGAGUACUAUCCGGGAGACAGACUGCGGGUGCUAACGUCCGUAGUCAAGAGGAAAACAAUCCAGACCGCCAGCUAAGGCCCCAAAAUCAUAGUUAAGUGGGAAACGAUGUGGGAAGGCAUAGACAGCUAGGAGGUUGGCUUAGAAGCAGCCACCCUUUAAAGAAAGCGUAAUAGCUCACUAGUCGAGUCGGCCUGCGCGGAAGAUGUAACGGGGCUAAAACUAUGUGCCGAAGCUGCGGAUGUAUACUUUGUAUACGUGGUAGGGGAGCGUUCUGUAAGCCGAUGAAGGUG
rnacentral:rRNA from 1 species